rnacentral:rRNA from 1 species
CUACGGGAGGCUGCAGUGGGGAAUAUUGGACAAUGGGGGAAACCCUGAUCCAGCAAUGCCGCGUGUGUGAAGAAGGCCUGCGGGUUGUAAAGCACUUUCGGUUGGGAGGACUGCUUCUAACACUAAUAUUGUUGGAAGUUGACGUUACCUUCAGAAGAAGCACCGGCUAACUCCGUGCCAGCAGCCGCGGUAAUACGGAGGGUGCAAGCGUUAAUCGGAAUUACUGGGCGUAAAGCGCGCGUAGGCGGCUAGAUCAGUCGGGUGUGAAAGCCCCGGGCUUAACCUGGGAACUGCAUCCGAUACUGUCUAGCUUGAGUACAGGAGAGGAGAGUGGAAUUCCACAUGUAGCGGUGAAAUGCGUAGAUAUGUGGAGGAACACCAAUGGCGAAGGCAGCUCUCUGGCCUGAUACUGACGCUGAGGUGCGAAAGCGCGGGGAGCAAACAGGAUUAGAUACCCCCGUAGUC